CCUGGCGGCGAUAGCGCGGUGGUCCCACCUGACCCCAUGCCGAACUCAGAAGUGAAACGCCGUAGCGCCGAU
rnacentral:rRNA from 1 species